UGGGGAAUAUUGCACAAUGGGGGAAACCCUGAUGCAGCAACGCCGCGUGAAGGAUGAAGGUUUUCGGAUUGUAAACUUCUUUAGUCAGGGACGAAACAAAUGACGGUACCUGAAGAAUAAGCCACGGCUAACUACGUGCCAGCAGCCGCGGUAAUACGUAGGUGGCGAGCGUUGUCCGGAAUUACUGGGUGUAAAGGGCGUGUAGGCGGGAAUGUAAGUCAGAUGUGAAAUCCCAGGGCUCAACCCUGGAGCUGCAUCUGAAACUAUGUUUCUUGAGUGUCGGAGAGGAAAGCGGAAUUCCUAGUGUAGCGGUGAAAUGCGUAGAUAUUAGGAGGAACACCAGUGGCGAAGGCGGCUUUCUGGACGAUAACUGACGCUGAGGCGCGAAAGCGUGGGGAGCAAACAGGAUUAGAUACCCUGGUAGUCCACGCUGUAAACGAUGGAUACUAGGUGUAGGAGGUAUCGACCCCUUCUGUGCCGGAGUUAACACAAUAAGUAUCCCAUCCU
rnacentral:rRNA from 1 species